rnacentral:lncRNA from 1 species
CAAAUCUCGUUUUAUCGGUAUUACCAAUGAAACAAUUAUCCACCAUAAAAACAAAGGGCAAGGAUGUAAAAAACGACAGGUUCUAUGAUCCUUUUGCAGAACUCAUACAGUGUGGUAGCUAAUAAAGGGCUCCGAGAUCUUGGAUACAAAGUAAGAAACAACCUUGAGAGAAAACAAACUUAUUUUUAACAUUAUUCAGAAACAAAUAUAUGACACACAUAACCCAAUCAGGACAACCACUGGAUGAUUACAGGUUCAUGUAUAGCUCGGAAUAAGAACACAAUAAUGUGGCGGGGUUGGACAUGUUUGUAAGAGUUCGAUUCUCCCACUAACCUGAGGCAGUGGUGUGAACACAACACACUUUAUAAAACUAGUCGAAAAGGAACUCGACUCAUCCGAUCGGAACGAAUCACACAUUUAAAACUUUCCGAAAUGACCUUGGACACAGAGUACCGACCUAAGUGUACUCAUAGAUACUUAAAGCAAGUUCAACGCCUAUAUUCUACUAAUAAAUUGACCAUGUUUCACUCACUUAAAUAUCCUGCAGUUCACCCUAACGGAUUAAGAUUUAAAACGUCAUAAGCAGUCUGGGAAUAGCCUGACCUUGAGAUAUGCCAUUGGCAGCAUAUAAAUAUCAACAGG